GAAAAACUGAAUAUCUAUUAAACUUAAGAUAAAAUUUUAAACUUCUUUCAUAUAUAUUUUGUCGUAAUUAUGACAAUAAAUUAAAAGCUCGAUUAAGACAUAUUAUUAAUGGAUUGUAGAAAAUGCUUUUGAUUGUUGAAGGUAAAUAUUGGCGGAUCAAAGAUAAAUAAAUAUGCAGUAUGUUUACUUGUAGGAAAUUGCUCUUAAACGAAUUUUUAUUACCGACAUUUUUUUGCAAUAAGAAGUUGCCAAAAAAACUACGAUCACCAUAAAAGAAUCGCUUAAUAGAUUUUAUAACAAGAAAAAUUACAAAUCUCUAUUCUGUCGAGCAUAAUAUAUAAUAUUUUGUGCCAUUUUUCGCUCUCUGCUGGUUUCAAGUUAUGCCGAUUGGUAUUCGACAGGGUCAUGUGACCACUUGUGCUUGUUUGCUUGCCAAAAGACUGCAAAAGCCUGAGCAUAAUGUCAAAUUUUUUUUUCUUUCGAUUUUUUCCUUCACCGUAUCGUUUUUCAGCUAUAUAGGUAUUAGUCGGAAUUAGGUUAUAACAUUAAGCAGUCUCCUUACCGGAAGCGAGAUAUGCAUGUCACUGAAGAAGGAAACCAACUGUAAUCGGCUACAAAUGUAAUCAAAAAUUUCUAACGAAGUCAAAAUUUGCACUAUAGGGUAAGAAUAAUAAAGACAACUAUUUAGUCUCGGAUCUUCAAAAUAUCAAGUGAAAAAUUUAAACAAUUGUAUUUCUGCUAAAGCUUCUAAUGCAUGAUAUCAAAGAAAAUGAUUUGAUGGCAUCGUAAUGAAGCAAAGACGGUCUAAAAACGAUAUUCGUCGGAAAGCUGAAAUAUUUUGUCGGACUACCUCGGCCCACGGCUUAGCUCAAUUUAUUCGGGAAUCUUCGUGUCCCAAAAGAAUUUUUUGGAUGGUUAUCUUUAUCGUAGCGGUAAUAGGCAAUAUGACCCAUUCCCUUUUGCUAUUUGUACAAUAUUUUAAAUAUGAGGCAACGGAAUCAAGCACAAUAGUUAAUGAGAAUGCCGAGUUUCCGCAUAUAACUAUAUGUAACAUUGAUCCUAUGUCUUCGACGAAUAUCAUUGAACUAUUAAGCAAUAAAAGUUCACGAACAUACAAAUAUGACGUUUUCCAAAGGGAACAGUUUGAUACUUUGGCUAAAACUUAUAAUAAAUCUCAUCUAACUGCUCGUGUACAAAGUUGGCAUGCAUUCUACGAAAAUAUUGGUGAAGAAGAAAUCAGGCGAGCAGGUCACUCUCUUCCUGACUUCGUUGUUCAUUGCCAAUUUGGAGCUAGCAGAAAAGAAUGUAACUUAAAGGAAGAUUUUGUCGCGUUUACAAACCCCUCCUAUUUUAAUUGUUAUAUAUAUCGACCGAAGCAACCAUUGCGUGUCACAAGAUCGGGAGCACAAUAUGGCCUAUCAUUGAUCCUUUUUCUCGAAGCAACGAAUGGAAGUGUGCAUCCCGAAGUUUACAAUGCGUUCAGCACUAUUGGUAAUUCAGCCGGUGCAAGAGUUUCGAUACAUGCACCAUCUGAAGUAGCCGAUCCAACAGGUGAUGGUUUCGAUGUGCUACCUGGGCAUUCUACUACGAUAAGUCUUGAGCAAGAAUUUAUCACUCGUUUAUCAAAUCCCCAUGGUAACUGUACUGAAGAAAUAAAAACUACAAUGUUUGGCUAUCAAGUUCCGUUUACAAUGUGCCUAGACUAUUGUAUUCAAAUGAUAUAUGUUAAGAAGUGCGGUUGCAAAACUCCUUUUCUGCCGAUCACUAAUACCGAGAAGGAAAUUCCGUUUUGUGGACAAUAUGAUCCAAACGAGUCAACUGAAAAUUAUUUUCAUCGGCUUGAAUGUGAAACAGAGGUAUCUAAGAGGAUUGAUGCAUUUUUCGAUAGGUCCAGAUGCUCAUGCGCUCCCUCUUGUGAAAGUGUAGAAUACUUUCCAAUAAUUAGUCAAAGCAAAUGGCCUUUGGCUAAAACAGAGGCCUCUUUUUACGAAAAAUACGUAAAAGAACGUCGCGACAAAAGUCAAAUAAAAUCUUUCACUACCUUAAGGAGUAUCGAUUUUAAAAAUCGUUUGUUACGUAGUAACGUGAUUAGAAGUAACUUCCUUAGAUUAAAUAUUAAUUAUAGAAAACUGACUGCUCGAAAGAGAGCUCAAGUCCCAUCUUACGCAUUGGCAAACUUAUGGUCAGAUGUUGGCGGAACAUUUGGAUUAUGGGCUGGUGUUAGUGUGAUAACAAUAACAGAGGUCACAGUUCUCACAUUGGGAGUGUGUUCUAGCUUAUGCUCGAGAAGGAGAAAGCAAAUCAGGGAAAAAGACCAUGCUAGGCAAAUUAAUUCAUUAAAUGGCUAUAUACCAGUCUAUAAAACGCAAACGGAAAUAUAUGAUAUAUCAAUAUAAAGCUUAAAAGCACUUUAAAAUAAAAGAGAAAAUUUUUUUAAAAUACAGCAGUAUUUUCAUUAAAUGUAACUGACUUCUUUUCUAUCUUAUUUCUUGCCGAGUAUGGUGAACUUGAAAAACCUGCUGAGGAAUGAGAGCUUGCACUGGGUGUAGGCAGAGAACUCAUUUUUGACAAAUUCCAAGAGUUUCCUUCAAAAAAACUAAUGUUUCCCGGAUCUGUGUACAAAAAAGUGUAAAGUUAAUAUUCUUAUUCUUCUGAAUAAAGUUACGGACCCGGAGGAGUUGUCCAUUUACUUGUGGUUGAAGUCGGAGAAUCUAAAUGUGCCAUUUCGUCCUCAGAACUUUUCUCUUCUUCAUUUUUUUUUGUUUUGCACCUUUCCUUAUGUUUUAACAAUGACGUAGAUCGAGUAAAAGUUAGAAAGCAAUUUUCACAUUCAAAAGUAAUUCCGUAUCUUCUACCUCCGGAUCCUCCCAACGGUCGUCGACUUGUUUUACGUACUCCAGCUCUAAUGGUAGAACUUAGAUUUUUUACCGGAAAAGGUGAUAAAUCUUUGUCCUCUUGAUCAUGCUUUUCGUCUACGUUUUGCUCAUCAAAUUCAACUUCGUCAGACGAGAUUGCGUUAUCAUUAAUUGUAUAUCCAUCACAAACCUCUUUUUCUGGAUGACUUUGCAAACCCUUUGAAACCAAAGCAUAUUUUGUUUUUUGGUAUGACAUACUUCUUGGUUGACAAUACAAACCAUCUUCAUAGGGAUUCAUAGAUACAUACGCGUAGUUGUCGAGUGUAUUUUCAACAUUUCGAGGACAAGUUUGUGUUUUUCCUUCAUUAUAAAUUACUCUAUCCGCUAAAUGGAUCACAUUCGUUUUCUGGUCUGUCGAAAUAAAUAUCGCACCAUGUAUAUUAAGUUGGGUACUACAUUUCGUCUUCUUGAUUAUAACAUCUAUAAUUUCUUUGCGGAUUUCUCCUGAAUCACUUAUAAUUUCCAUAUUGAGGACUAAUAGACAAACACUGUUAGUUAAUGUUAAAUUGAAAACAAAAGCUUAAGCUGUUGAAGAAUAUGUUUGUGAGGAAAG
rnacentral:misc_RNA from 1 species